GUGAUUCUCCUGCCUAAGCCUCCCAAAGUGUUAGGAUUACAGGCUUGAGCCACCGCGCACCGGCCCUUAUCCGCCAGGUUUGUUCAGGGAUGUGAGGCAGGAGAAUACGGUCUGGAGGCAGGGAACCUAAGGCCGAUUCAUGGUGACUUCCUAGAACUAAAUCAAAACGAAAACCCCAACUUUCCACACCCAAGUAACAAAAGAACCAGAGGCUACUCCCUUUGCCAGCCCCACUGUCUUCUUCCAUGUGGCUGAAGAAAAAUGGAAAGUACCUCUGAUUGGUCCCCUCCCGUAACCAAUCCGGCUGGUGGUGGGCCAAAUCUUCAUUUACAUAAGGCAUAAUUUUGUAACUUCACUUCAGCCUCUGAUUGGUCCCUUCCCGCAACCAAUCAGACUGAUAGUGGGCCAUUACUUCAUUUACAUAGGGUGUAUAGCACGUAACCAAUGGGAAACUUCUAGAGGGUAUUUAAACCCCAGAACACUCUAUAACCAGUCUUUUUAGCCGUUUGCUUAGGCUUGUUUCCUACCCUGUGAAGUGUGCUUUCGUUUACAAUAAAUCUCUGCUUUCGUUGUUUCAUUCGUUCCUUGCUUUGUUUAUGCGUUUUGACCAAUUAUUUGUUCAAAACACCAAGAACCUGGACACCCUCCACCAGUAACAGAAGUUAAAGGGGGAGCCGUUAACUUUGAAAAGUCAAAUGCCAUUUCCAAGGGGCUCAAAAUUGAUUUUCCAUGUUGUCAUUUACUGGAGCUCUACUGAAGAGGAUCUGGUCAGUGUGAUAAGUCUCAGCUUCAGUGCCACCUCUUCCGAGAAGCCCUCCGUGACCACCUCCACUGUUCCCACCACUCACCCUGUUGAUUUCCUCCACGGAACAAAGGUAUCUCAGUUUGCCACGAUGCACACUCUUGUUUCUUCCAGAUGGCCAGCUCUAGGAAGGCAGGGGCUCACCCAUCGUAUUCAUCCGUGCUGACCGUCCACGCUCACGUUUCAGGAAUUUGAGUGGCCCCGUGGGAACAGCAUCUCUGCUCCUUAAUGUCUGGGGCCUCACGUAGGGAGGCCUGCAUGGCUCCACUGGGGCCAUUAGUGUGUGGCCUGGUCUUCUCCAUGAGGUGUAUGCAGUGCUGGAGUGUCUGGGAGCUCCUUUGCUUACGAGUCUGGCUUCUUGGUGAUCCAGGUUUCUUCCUGUCUCUUUCCAUGUGGCUUGUACCCACCAGAGUCUGCCCCACCCUCAGUGGCUGGGCUUCGCACAGCCUGGUGGUCUCAGGAUAGCUGGGCUUCUUAUAUGAUGCCAGAUUUGAAGAGGCAAGAAACAGAGCCUGCCAGGCCAGGUAGGCUCCUCCCCCAAAGCUGACCCAGCCUCGCUUCUCGGUAUACUAUUAAAGCCAUCCCAGGGCCGCCCCACACCCACGGCCCACUUGCGUCUUGAUGGGGGCAUGGCAGAGUCAUGUUGCAGAAGGGCAUGUGGGGGUGGGAACUAUUACUGCAGCCAUUUUUGGAAACUUCAAUCUGCAACAUAGAAAGUGGAGGGAAGGGGCCGGGCGCGGUGGCUCACGCCUAUAAUCCCAGCACUUUGGGAGGCCAAGGUGGGUGGGUCAUGAA